rnacentral:lncRNA from 1 species
AACGUAACAUUUCAACUCAUUCUUUCUCUCUCUUCAAUCUUACGCUCAACAUUUCUCUCUCUUCAACCUUACACUCAUAAGGAGCUUUACAGAAACCCUAAAAAAUUCUUCUCUCUUGGAGAAGACGACCGGAGGCGGCGGCUCACAGCGGAGCCUCCGUCCAUCUCCGGUAACCCUACCCAAAACGUGACCUAAACCACUACCUACAACCUCCCGAGUUCGAAUCCGGACUCUGAAAUCCCUAAACCAAACUCAAGGCGUUUGCAUGUUGCGAUAGCGAAAUAAAAGGGGUUCGUUAUAUUUACCACGGCGAAGGAGGUGAGUGGUGGCUUCAGGCGAAGAAGGAGCGCUUUGAUCCGAGUCCGUCGUCAACAACCCGUCGCAGUUUCGGAUAAGUUUUCUUCCUCAACCUGCUUCUUUGUCUGUUUUCGUGAAAGUUUUUUAGAUUUUCUCUGGGAUUUCAAGAAAAGUCUUUCUGUUUCUCUUUUAGGGUCUUUUUGAGAUAUAUUGCUGCUAUGUAUUCUGGGUUUGAAAGAUAUUGCUCUGUUGUCCUGUGUUCGAUUUUUAGGUUUUUUAGAAAAAUUGUUGUGCUCUUGAUGUGUGAAAAAUUGCUCUGUUCUCGUGUGGUUUUUUUUUUUUUUGUUAACUUCUCAUCAUCUUCUUUAUGAAGAAAAUCUUAAGUCUUAAAAACUCCUUUUUUGUUAUACCUUUUUCUUCCAGAUUACAUGGGAUUCCAUUUGUAGAUUUGUUACUGUUUUAAGCUAUUUUCAAAGUGCUUUUUUGAGUGUUCAUGUUAACCUGCUGGGUAAAGUUUCAAACUGAGUAAUUUAUUUAGUUAUUUUUCAGUUUUUUAAGCGCUUUUGAAAAGUGCUUUUUUAAUUAAGCUGUUUUUCCUCUUUGCAGGUUACAGGAAUGAAGUGACCCCUAUUGAAGGGUGAAGUCUGCGUCAGCCCUAUUGAGGAGGGGGUUGGAUUUUAAGGUGCUUUGACCUAGACGACGGUCUUGGGCGCUGGCUUUUGAGAGUUCUAUUUCCAAACUGCUGGAUUUUCAGCAGCUUUUAAUUUUUCAAUUUUAGUCAUCAAGAUGUAACUUUGGACCCUUUGGAUAAUUGUAUUAAUUUCCAAACUGCUGGAUUUUCAGCAGCUUUUAAUUUUUCAAUUUUAGUCAUCAAGAUGUAACUUUGGACCCUUUGGAUAAUUGUAUUAACUUUGGAAUUUAUUUGUGAUAUCCUAGACCAAAAAAGAAUUUAUGUAAUUAAUCUCUUUUCAAACAUUUAAACUUUAUUUUAAUAUUUCAAUUAGGAACUUGUUAAUCAAUUAAAUCAUUUUGAACUUUGUCCUCUUAUUUCAAUUGGCAACCUACUUGGGCCACCAUGAACAUCCAACCAAAAAUUGUUUCUAGCAUAUUAUCAUUUAAUCAAAAUCCAUCUAUGAUCAGAAAUUAAAAAUGAGGCAUGUCAAUGCAAUUUCAAUUUUUAAAAACAACACACUUUUAACUUAGGUACAGAGAAACCAAAUAUAGUGACUUAAUUUAAAAACCACACAAUUCUAACCUAGGUACAAAGAAACCAAAUAUAGUGAUUUAAUUUAAAAAACAACACAAUUCUAACUUAGGUACAAAGAAACCAAAUGUAGUGAUUUAAUUUAAAAACAACACAAUUCUAACUUAGAUAAAUAUAGUGAUUUUAAAAAACAACACAAUUCUAACUUAGAUACAAAGAAACCAAAUAUAGUGAUUUAAUUUAAAAACAACACAAUUCUAACUUAAAAACAAAGAAACCAAAUAUAGUGAUUUAAUUUAAAAACAACACAAUUCUAACUUAAAAAAAAAACAAAUUUAAUUUAGGAACCUAUGAAAGACUUAGAACUUGGCAUAAAUAUUUGGGGUGUGUAAAUCGACUAAUAAAUAGUGAUCAUAGAAAUAAUAACAUGGCUCUUAAUACUUACUAAUAAGAAAAUAGGUUUUGGAUUAGUAAUGUAAAAAGAUUCAAACCACAUUUUAGAUUAUGAACACACUUAUGCAAAAAUACUUACUAAUAAGAAAAUAGGUUUUGGAUUAGUAAUGUAAAAAGAUUCAAACCACAUUUUAGAUUAUGAACACACUUAUGCAAAUGGGCCUUUGAAACAAAGAGAUCUCAUGGGUAAACCACAAGUGGCCGGACAAAAUUGGGGUAUGACAGUAUUUCCUCGCAUGCUUCCUAACUUCUCAUCCUACGACUCAUCAAUCUCAUGCACACCAUAGGAUGAGAAGUUAAUGAAAUGAAGAACUUAAAAAUGAUAAUUUUCAAAAUGAAAACUAAAAAUUCACACAAACAGGGUCCCACCAGGUGUGCCAAUUUGUUUACCGGUGAAUUUGGUAACCAAAACAAGUUUCUAUUAAUACUUAAAGGAUCAAACUCGAAAAUAUUCUGGAACAUAUUUGUGUGCAUUAUGACUUUCGAACAUAUUGCUAUUAAGAUCGAAAUGCAGUGUUUAAGAGAUAAUGAUCUGAACAUGAGUAAAAUUGAAAAGUCAAAGCGUUGAAAAUAAAGUGACUAGAGUCGAAACGUGAAGGCUUUAAAAGUAAAAUGAAAGAAAGAAACUUAAAGGCAGGAAUGACUUGGAUACAAAAUAUUUGAAAUUUAUAAAUGUGGAAUGCAUACAUAUUUCCUCACUUGUUUCUCAAUACACAGAUAUUUUGAGUUUGUAGGAUUUUUAGUACAAUUGCGGACCCUUACAACAUAAGCAAACGUCUACUUAUAUACUAGUCUAAAAUAACUACACACAACAGUCGACUAGACACAUCACGCCAUGUUUCGCCUCCAUGCAAUAAUUAUCUUCGACAGACUUCCACGUGUCUCUGAAUAACCAUAUGGUUCUAUCCAAAUCUGCCUCAUUCGACUGAUCAAAAUAACCAACUCAAAUAUUGGAAAUUUUACUAAGUUCAAAUUCCAUUCGACAAGUCACCUUUGACGGGUCAAAAUGUAUCAACUCAGCAUAUGGUUUCGACGGACCAUGUUUAACUUCAAACCUCACCAUGGCAUGUCCUUAUGUCUUACUUACCAUUAAUAUACAUGUCAAAAAUUCGAGGUAACAACAUGUAAAAAGAAACUAUAGGACUUUGUCCUUACCAAAGAUCUCUUUCCUCUCUGCAUGAGUAUCAAUUCACUUCUUCCUCAACUCGGAAGAAGGAACCUCACUGGGAACAAACCUCUCAGAGGCACCAACUGAAUUAACAACUACAUAUGGAGGCAUCAAUUGAAUUGGUGACACAAACCUAACAUAAAGUAGUGAGUCAUAAAACUUAAUUAGAAAAAAUAAUAGAACUUAAAGUAAGAAAAAGAAGAAAACAAAAUAUAGAGCAAGAAAAAUCGGAAUAUAAUCAAAACAAAGAAUGCAACCUUUUGACAAAAUACACAACACUUUUUUAUAUAAUUUGGAAUACUAAUUAACCAUUAACCAGUUUACAUAGCCAACAAGAAGCAACAAACAAGAUGCAGGAGAUGCACAACAGUUCAACACCAAUCUCCAAAGCAACAAACAACUCAUACAAAUAUUACAAUUAUUCAGAUACAUAGUUUUUGUUGCAACUCUCAAACAAACUGAUCAAGAUACUCUUCAACAGUAGUGUACUUAACAUCCGGGUACAACUCAAAAGCCUCAACCCCAAAAGAUGGUUCAAUCACAAAGUUGGUGUGAUCGCCCUUCACAAAUACAGAGUGGUUAAUUGAUAAUAUCACAUUGAUUGGAAGAGGUGCCUCUUCAAUAUCCUUGAGAAGUUUAUCUUCUGGAAUAUAACUUUUCUCCACAGUCUUCCCAAUCUUCUUCUAAUACAGAGUGGUUAAUUGAUAAUAUCACAUUGAUUGGAAGAGGUGCCUCUUCAAUAUCCUUGAGAAGUUUAUCUUCUGGAAUAUAACUUUUCUCCACAGUCUUCCCAAUCUUCUUCUCCCACAAUGCGACAAGCUCGUUGAAUGAG